GGCAUACACAAUAUCAACUCUAGCACUAAUACUUCUCCCAAAACCCGAAGUCGCAUGAAAUCGCAAGCUAAGGAUACUACAUAGUGCUCUAACUCCAGAAUGUCUAAAACAAAGUAAAUAACGAAGGGAUAUAACUACAAGAGGGAAUGGAGAGAGACUCAUCGGUCUGCGAACACGGUGGAUAUACCUCGAAGUCUACGAAGGAUCGCCUCAGCUCAAGGGUGGUAUGUCUGAGUAGAGGUACCUUGAUCUGCACAUGAAAAACAUACGCCUAAAGGGCAUGAGUACACCGUAGCGGUACUCAGUAAGUGCCAAGACUAACCUCGAUCGGGUAGUGACGAGGAUGGUCAGUGCCCUACUGAGAUUAAAUAAAAUAUAAGGUAUAACAGUAUAAGGUAAAACAGUAUAGUCGAAAGAUAAUAGUGAGAAAUAAAAUAGGAUAAUAAGGGUAACAACCUUAACUAAAAUUGAGACAAAAUAGUCACAAGAAAUACCACUUUUCACAAAGAUAAAUAUUUGGGAAUCUCUCAGUAUCCCGGGAUCUCUUGGUAUCAUCAAUAUAUGCAUGCCAAGGAUCUCUUGGUAUCCCGAGGAUCUCUUGGUAUCCUCAAUAUGUGCUAGGGAUAUCUUGGUAUCUCGAAGAUCUUUUGGUAUUCUCAAUAUGUACUAGGAAUCUCUUGGUAUACCGAGGAUCUUUUGGUAUCCUCAAUAUAUGCCAGAGAUCUCUUGGUAUACCGCACUUCAGCUCGAAUCAUAAAUAUGUACAGGGGAUCUUCCAGGAUGUUGUCUUGUAGUCCCAAAGUGAAACAUACAAUAGUAGCACAAGGAAUACUCAUUUAAACUCGACUUCACACCAAGGUAAAAUAGGAAAUUCUAGCCUAGCAUGCUUCACGUAAUACAAAUAAGGCAGUUAAAGCAAAUAGAGCAAUUAAGUCAAUUAGACAUGCUUUUCUAAGCUAACAACAAGCCUUAAAUUCCAAGUAGUGUAGGCAGGGAAGAAAAAUCAGAACUAAAGCUAUUUUAAUGAAAAUAGGAUUUUCAACAAUUAGCACAAGUACGCACCUGUCACCUCACGUACAAGGCAUUUCAAUUUUCACAACACCAAUCCUAAGGGGAAUUUCCCCACACAAUGUUAGACAAGCCAUUGCCUCAACCAUGCUCAAAUCAAUCCAAAACCACGCUCUUUCCAUGAGUACUUGGCUCCUAAUUGACCAAAUCUACUCAAUUCGUAAUGUAAAUAAUACUUCAAGAAACUGAUUCUACAAAGAAAUUCUAAGCUAGCACGCGAAUUUAGAUAAAAUAACCAAAAUGCCCUUGGGGUCCACGUCUCGAAUUCGGGUGAAAUUUACAAAUUCUGUAUCCUCAUACUCUCACGAACUCAUAUGUAUAACAAUUACUCCAAUCCGACAUCAAAAUCGUGAUCUAAACUCAAUUGUUUGGUCUAGGAAAUUUCUAUAAUUUUCCAGCAUAAAUUCGAAAUUAAAGGACGGAUUUAAGUGUAGAUUCCUGGCUUUAGUCUAAAUCGAGCAAGAAUUACUUGCCCAAAAUACCCAGGUGAAAAUCUCUCUUAAAAUCACCAAUCUCGUGCUCCCAAAUCAAAUUUUCCAGGUUUUGAACUAAAAUCCUGAUUAUGUCCCUUUUAUACCCAGUGCAACUGCAUCUGCGGUCCCGUUUCUGCGAGGACAUGGUCGCAUCUACAACAUUUCGCUUAAAGGAUUCCGCUUCUGCGAUUGACUUUCUGCACCUGCGGUCUCGCACCAGUGUUACCCUUCUCGCAUAUGUGGCUCCUGGAGUUGGAGAAGAAAUUCUGCUUCUAUGAUCCAAUAGCCGCUUCUGCGGCACCGCACCUAUGGUCCCACACACACGAGUGCAGUUAUGACAGGUUCAACAAUGAAAAAUCUUCCUAAGUCAAAAUUCAACUUCCGUAAGCACCUAAAACUCACCCGAGGCCCCAAGACCUCAACCAAACAUGUCAACCAAUCCUAAAAGAGCAUUCAAACUUGUUCCAACCUUUGGAACACUCAAAACAAUAAUUUAACAUUGAAUUCAAGCCUAGGAACUUCAAAAACUCACAAUUUAUGCUUUCCAUCAAAAAGUUUAUCAAACCUCGUUCGAAUGACCUAAAAUUUCCACACACAUCACAUUCAACACUACGGAGCUACUCCAACUUCCAACCUUGGAUCAAAAUCUCACUAUCAAACUAGAAACUUCAAAAUUUUGACUUUUGGCAUUUCAAGCAUUAAUUAGCUACGGACCUCCAAAGCAUAAUCUAAUCAUGCACCUAAGCUCGAAAUUACUCAACGGAGCUAAUAGAACCAUUGGAAUUCCAUUUUGAGGUCGUAUUCACGUUGUUCUGACUAAGGUCAAAUUUUCAACACUUAAGCUCUCAUUUAGGGACUAAGUAUCCCAAGACUCUUUGAAACUCAAAACUGAACAUCCCGGCAAUUCAAAAUAGCAUAAAUAAAUGUAGGGGAAGCAGUUAAUAGGGGAUCGAGACGUAAAUUCUUAAGACGACCGGCCUGGUCGUCACAAUAUACCUAUAAUCAUGUCUGGUGAGGACUCCAAAUUCUGGCGACCCGAUAAUAUAUAGAUACAAUUCUAAUGUUGCCCACCCGAGCCAGUCAUUCCACCUCUAUCUCUACACAUCCCAAUGGUGGUUGCAUACCUUGAUCAUGAAGGCAUACCCUCGAUGACGAAGAUGUUGAUGAUCCUAUUGGUGGUAUCAUGCCACCCAUAUUUCUCAUUCGGCAAAAGAGCAUGAUGUAAUCGGGUUACUCACAAGAAUAAUAUCCGAACCUUGGCAGCAUUGCCUAAAAUAAGUCCUACCACAUCAUGGACAAGAUAGCAUCAAGGGUAUCGCCCUACUAUGGUCCCUAUUGUUCUGUGAACUCUACCAUCGGAAAAUCUUGCCUUGACUUGAAUGAAUGGUCCAUUCGUGAUGCUGGACUUAGGUCUUGGAUGGCAUGCUGGCCACCAAGCUUGGUGAUUGCCAAAGAAAUAAGGAUCUAAACCCGCCUCGAAGCUUUCCCGUGUCUCCCAUGGACUGGCUCUCUUAGAUUAACCCUAGUCGUGUUCUCGAGCAGCUUGCUGCAGCUUCUUGCAAUUCUCCAAGUUUUGUGAAUAGUCCCGAAUGUGAGCAAUAUCCAUAAUUGGAUUCAAGGAUGUUGUGGUGCAUUCUUUUAUCAAACGCGGCCCUAAACUGGCAACAAAUCAAUGUACCUGGUUAGUCAUCUCGGCCACCACUGUUGGAGCAUACCUAGCCAGGGAGUGAAAUUGCAUGUUGUACUCUGGGACACAGAUAUUACCUUGCUCCAACCACAACAAUCUAUCUUGUCUACCUAUACUGAGUCCAACAUGCAUAUAUUUCUCUGUAAAAGGAAUUCUCUACAAACUCAUGCAUUACCCAUAAAUUCUGUUGUACUUGAUCUAAAAAGUUCUAAGGAUCUUUGUUUGAGUAUGUUCCCGUGAAUACAGGGGGAUCCAAAUUUAUGAAGUCUCGAACUCUCAUACUGAUUGUUCUUUCUAAAGUGGUAGGGAUCUGAUGUUCGGCCUGAGAGGCCACCAACCGAGGUAACAACUGUACUGCACUUCUCAUGUCUAUAUCCUAUUUAGGCUCAACUGGUGGAGGAAUAAGAGCUUCAUUAACUUCUAUAUGUUGUCCCAGAGGUGGUGGUGUUGUCCCCAAAACCUGUCUCUCGACCUUCUCGUAGGGUCCAUAUUGACUCAUCAGGGCAUGCGGCGCCUAGCUAGUACCUUCUCUUCCUUCUUUGUUUAAUCCUUGAGUAGUGUUUAACUUCUCAUGGUAGGCAUUAAUAUAAAUAUGAAUAAAUGGGUAAUAAAAGAAAAUACUUAUGACUCGGCUCUAUCGCACUAUCCAGAUAGAAAGAAGGGUAUUCAUCCUAAAUAUAGUGUAUCCUCCUGCUUAUAAGUAUGGUGCGCCACAUACCAUAAAAAAGACACUACUAGAUACGGCUUGCAGACUUCCUAGAACACGACCUACUCUGAUACCUAGUUUGUCACAAUGUAAUCUUGGUAGGUGCGACCAGCACAUGAUGCAAGAAGGCCCGUGCAAACUGAUGCAUGUUGUUACAUUUUUUUAUUUAUUAAAUCGGGCCAUUGAGGCCUCCAAGUAAAAAUACCAUAACUAUAAUGUGUACAUCUGAUUAGGGAAAGAAGCACUUACUUUCCAUACAUAUCUACGACUGUAACAAAGUUAUACUUACACCUUUUUACAUACAACUGAAUCUAGUCUGCAAACCUCUAAGAGAAUUCAAAGUUAUAAACAUAUACAUAACAUGGUUGAGACAUGACCCCACCAUACCCAGAAUGUUUAGAAUAUUUGCAUCAAUACCUAUUGACUUUUGAACUGCUACUCCAAAAGAGUAGAGGGAUACAACCAAUUAGUUGGAAUAGCACCCUACUGGGAGAGAUGUCACCAGAUCUAUCUGUACUUAUGGGCAUCGACACAACACCCAAAAGUAAGGGGCGUUAGUACAAAAAAUAUACUGAGUAUUUAAGGCUAAACAUAUAAAUUAGGGAUAUUAUAUAAGAGAUAUAUAAGCAUGCCUUCAACUUGGGUACCGCCAGAAGUAGACUUAAAAAUACACAAGAUUUAUAAAGGGUUAGGCCACUUAGGGAGAUUAUACGCUGGAUUCAAUAUAACAUCAUUCAGCCCCGUUUAGGGCAUAUCACCACAUAUUGCGCUUAGAUUUGAGUUCAAGUGAUAAAAAAUUUGAGCUCAGAACGUAUUAUACUCUUUGACCCCAGGACACCAACUUGGAAUAUCAUAGACUUCAAAAUAAAUGCAACCAGCAUGAAUGUACAAGAACGGGAUAACAUUAUCGAGAGUUGUUUAGAUCUAUCAAACCUUAUAGCACAAUAAUCAUUUAGAAUGAAGGAGAAACUAACGCUAACGCAUGCAAAUAAAAGAAAGUCUCCCUACAUACCUUGUUGAAGAUCUAAUUACACUUAUAUGGUGGUUAACUUCAAUUAAAAAUCUUCAGAACCAUCUCCUGAUUUAGUUUGGUCUAUUCUAGAACUUCAAAGGAUGUGUGAGGAUUUUUGGUGAAUUAUGGUGAGUGGUAUUUCUCAAAAGUGAAAAAUAUUGAGC
rnacentral:lncRNA from 1 species